rnacentral:tRNA from 1 species
AAAGAAUUAGUUAAUCUAUUAUAACAUAAAUAUGUCAAAUUUAAAUAAUUAUAUAAUAUAAUAUUCUUUU